rnacentral:snRNA from 1 species
AGCUUUGCAUAGAGACAGUAUCUUAGCCAAUGAGAUUUAUCUGAGGUAUGAUUAUUGCUAAUUGGAUAUGAUCAGUCCAUGUUGUAUUCAUGUAGAGAAAUAUCACAGUGAACCUCAUUAAUAUGC